rnacentral:rRNA from 1 species
CUGGUUGGUGGGGUAACGGCCUACCAAGGCGACGAUCGAUAGCUGGUCUCAGAGGAUGAUCAGCCAGACUGGGACUGAGACACGGCCCAGACUCCUACGGGAGGCAGCAGUUAGGAAUUUUGGGCAAUGGGCGGAAGCCUGACCCAGCAACGCCGCGUGGGUGACGAAGGCCUUCGGGUUGUAAAGCCCUUUUCUGGGGGAAGAUGAUGACGGUACCCCAGGAAGAAGCACCGGCUAACUACGUGCCAGCAGCCGCGGUAAUACGUAGGGUGCGAGCGUUGCCCGGAUUUAUUGGGCGUAAAGGGCGCGUAGGCGGUCACGCACGUCCGUUGUGAAAUCGCUCGGCUCAACUGGGCGGGGUCAGCGGAUACGGCGUGGCUGGAGCAAGCUAGGGGGCAAUGGAAUUCCCGGUGUAGUGGUGGAAUGCGUAGAUAUCGGGAGGAACACCAGUGGCGAAGGCGGUUGCCUGGAGCUUUGCUGACGCUGAUGCGCGAAAGCGUGGGGAGCGAUCCGGAUUAGAUACCCGGGUAGUCCACGCCGUAAACGAUGCGGACUAGGUGUCGGGGGUAUCGACCCCCUCGGCGCCGCAGCUAACGCAUUAAGUCCGCCGCCUGGGGACUACGGCCGCAAGGCUAAAACUCAAAGGAAUUGACG